rnacentral:rRNA from 1 species
UACGUAGGGUGCGAGCGUUGUCCGGAAUUAUUGGGCGUAAAGAGCUCGUAGGCGGCUUGUCGCGUCGAAUGUGAAAUCUCGGGGCUCAACUCCGAGCUUGCAUUCGAUACGGGCAGGCUAGAGUUCGGUAGGGGAGACUGGAAUUCCUGGUGUAGCGGUGAAAUGCGCAGAUAUCAGGAGGAACACCGGUGGCGAAGGCGGGUCUCUGGGCCGAUACUGACGCUGAGGAGCGAAAGCGUGGGGAGCGAACAGG